CGAGUUCCCAUACGAUCACCUAAGUUAAGCAACGUCGAGCCUGGUCAGUACCUAGAUGGGAAACCACUUGGGAAUACCAGGUGCUGUAG